UUUCCGUAGGUGAACCUGCGGAAGGAUCAUUAAUGAGUUGUCAUGGGGUUCGAUGCUGGCAGCCAAUUUUUGGAUGCAUGUGCUUGCCCUAACAAUCAUCUUCCAAACACCUGUGCACAUUUUUGAGGGAGUCUUGAGUUGGUUGCCGCUCUUGGGUGAUUUUCUCACAUUCCCUUAAAUCAUUAUACGCUAUUAACAAUGUUGAACGUGCUCUGUGCCGCAAGGCCGUUAAUAUAAUACAACUUUUAACAACGGAUCUCUUGGCUCUC
rnacentral:misc_RNA from 1 species